UCCUAGCUAUUUUGAAUACAUGUACCCACAUAGCAAUACAUUGGAGAGAAGGAAUGAUACUGAGACACAUGGAAAGAGUUGGUAAAGACUGGCGUGAUGCUGGGAAUGCAUUUCAUGUAAACAGUAUGUUGGAACUGAAUGUGUAGGGAGAGAAGCUGUAAGGUAAAGUCAGGACACUAUCUGUCUAAGACUGCUAAGUGAGACACUGAAACCAGAGGAAGGAAAAGGGGAUAUUGAUCAUCAAAUGCAAACUAGUCACAAUUUCAGAGGGAAGAGAAAGGACUUGGGAAAAGAGAAAAAGAAAGCAGUAGUAAGAGGUCACCUCAGCGUUGCUAUGGAAGAAAGAGCUUAAGGCAAAAUUCUCAGUGCCCCUAAGAAGCUUGGAGAUGCAAGAAAGACUUUGUUACACUACAGAUUUAGAAUUUAUGAUUGCCUUUUGACCAAAGAAGUGAAAAAUGGGCAACUCAAACCCAUUUCUGCAACCAAACAACCCAGACAUGGACAAUUAUAGCAUGGCUGAAGGAUGCCUUUGAUGAUCCUCUUCCAAACAGGUGAUAGUCAACUCCAAGAU